rnacentral:lncRNA from 10 species
UUUUUUGAGACGGAGUCUUGCUCUAUUGCCCAGGCUGGAGUGCAGUGGCGCGAUCUUGGCUCACUGCAAGCUCCGCCUCCCGGGUUCACGCCAUUCUCCUGCCUCAGCCUCCCGAGUAGCUGGGACUACAGGCGCCCGCCACCAUGCCCGGCUAAUUUUUUGUAUUUUUAGUAGAGACGGGGUUUCAACGUGUUAGCCAGGAUGGUCUCGAUCUCCUGACCUUAUGAUCCACCCGUCUCGGCCUCCCAAAGUGCUGGGAUUAUGGGCGUGAGCCACCGCUCCCGGCCAUUUUUUGUGUUUAAAUUUUUUUUUUUUUUUUUAAAUCAAAACACCAGAAACCCCUCUGUGUAGGGCAGAGGUUCUUAAGCAGUGCGGGGCACCUGCAGGAUCUGUUCCAGCAGACAGCUGGCCCCAAAUCCUGGCUUUCUGGGUCAGGAGGGCU